CCACGUCUGGAACUUUUUAAAAUACAUGAAUGGAAACAGAAAAGUAUUGAUUUCUAUCAGUUAUCUGUUGCAAGAGGCAAGUAAUCAUCAAUAAUCAUCAAUAAUGGGGCGCCAUUUGGCUCAGUUGGUAGAGCAGGCGUCCCAUGUGCAGAGGCUUUGUCCUCACUGAGGCGGCUCUGGGUUCGAGUCCCGGCCCGGGACCGUCUGUCUUUUGACUUCGGUAAACAGAAGAUAAGAGCUUAAGAAUGAUAACGAACAGGUGAGUCAGUGGUAAUAAUAAUUACUUUAUACUGCUGCAACCUGGUGACACAAACACACACAACUACAGACGUCUAACAGACAACCAAUGAAAAUCAACAUCGGUUAAAGUUGACAAGCUGCUUCUCAGAAAAACCAGAGUGAGAAGAUCUAACAACAGUCCUUAUAAACAAAUCUCAUAGUUUAUCCUUUUAAACUCUUAAAACUCAGUUUAAUCAACACGUCAAAGAUCCUCGCAGCACUCUUCAGAGUGUUUCUCCAGCAAGCAAUAUUCAUCUGACGUCCUCCUUUGCUGCUGUAAUAAUCACUGUGGCCACUAGAGGUCGCCACCGAACAACAGACGUACACCUGGGCUGAAUAAUCGUCUUUCACAGUUGAUGUAUUUUGUAGUUUCCUGACGAGGAUCGGCUGCAAACAUUGAAACUUGAUAUUUUAAUGCUGUGACACAGCUGUGUUUAUGUUGGUCAGGCUGAGGAAGAAUAAACACUUGAUUAUCUUUUGGAAAUGUUAAACAUACAAACUCUCGUGACUGGACUUGGACAUCCUUGCUGCGCCAAGUCAAACUGAGUAGAACCGGGCCGGGAGACGUUUGUAGGAAAACAGCACUGUGGAGACCUAAACUGGUCAUUUAAAACUGAACCGUGAUGUAUUUUUAACCCUAACCAAGUGUUUUUUGUGCCGUAACCUCACCGGAGCACGAAGACGUUGUGACGUGAAACUUAUCUCACAUCUAUUCUGGUGAUCGAGCUGACGGACGACAACCGGCAAACACAUCUGAGCAAAAACAACAGCGACAUUAGUUUCUUUGUUUACAGCGUCAGUCGGACUAACAACACACCUUUCAACACAACAUAAAUAAUAAAUGUAGUUUUAUUAUCGCUCAUUUCGUCGUGACGUCCGGCUGCUGUUACGUGGACGUGUCCUCGUCCGUCCUCCGCUGUGAGUCGAGAAAACAAACAGGCUGUGAAAGUGGAUAAAGAGCCAAAUGAUGAUUUAUGAUUUUGAACACUUCCAGCAUCUCUGUGUGUUGAGUUUCAUAUGGAAAUCCCUUUUAGCACGGCGGGUAAAUAGAUUACGAUACAGUGAGGGAUUAGGGACUGCCUCGCCGCUGGCCCACUAAUCCCGAGCACAGACUGUCAACAGCCCUGACAUGUCCGGGACUCCUUCUGCACAAAAUGGCUCCUCGGCUGUUUAAGAAGCCAAUCUAGAGACGCACACCCCUCCACCUCCACCAGCCGCAGCACCUCCUCCACCUCCUCCUCCAUGAAUAUUCCUAUCGGGGCUGUCAGCGGCGGGAAAGACAAUGACGUUCGUCUUCAAAGGAGGGAGAUUAGAUGCUGCACGAGACAAAACGAGACUCUUUGAAGUGAUUUCGCUUCACAUUCCACAAACUUUCUCUUUUUUCUUUUUCCCGUACGGAGAGAAAAGUUGGUGUGUUUUUAUUUCCCGAAACUUGUGACAGAGUUCGGCACUUUCAGUCCGAGGGCACGAAUCACGUCUUUAAUGAUGCUCAGCUCGUCGUAGGUCCGACCCGCCGGCUCGCUGCUCGCCUGGUUUUAUUUUAAUCGGGUUAUAAAAUCCUCUGAAGCGGCUUCAUCACAUCACAGGACAAUAAAACAGACAUUCACGUGUCUGCGAGGAUCAGUUUCAUCUCUUCAGUGUAGAAAAGUGAUGAUGUUUAACGUCCUGAUCUGAUCCGAUACGUAAACAUGCUGUAAAAUAUACGUUACGUAUGCGGAAUAACACUUUACAGAAGUGUUAACAUCAAGUUAAUGAACUUGUAACUUAAAGCUGUGAAAUAACUAAAAAUGAGCAAAUCAUAAAAUAUACUACUCUGACAUGUUGUGGAGUAAAAGUAAAAAAUGACAUAAGAUAUAAAUACUAAGAUAAAAUAUGUUAACAUGCUGUAAAACAUACGUAACGUAUGCAGAGUAACACUUCACAGCCGCGGUGGAAAUUCAGGGAUUUUCACAUUAAUUUUUCAUUUUUUUCUUUAGAUUCAUUCAAACUGUCAUAAGAAAAGUUUAUAACUGCUGUAACGCAUCGUUACUGACUGGCACAGAGGAAUGACACCUUUAGAUAUAAAGUAGAUAAACUUCAAAUUUUUAUUUACUUCAUUCCUUUUGUCAUUAUUAAGUCAGGUUAAUGUUUAAAGUACCUCUGAAGUGUUACUGUGCAUACGGUACGUAUGUUUUACAGCAUGUAUACGUACUUUACUUUUGUUUUCUUAUCUUCAGCCACUUUUUACAUUUACUCCACUACAUGUCAUUUUAAUUUACUUCAUGCAUUUUGUCAUUAUUAUUAUUAAUAUCAUUAUGAGCGAGGUUAAUUUUAAAGGACGAGUACCUGAAUAGUGUUAUUCCGCAUACGUUACGUAUGUUUUACUGCAUGUUAACAUACUUUAGUAUUUUUAUUUAUAUCUUAUGCCACUUUUCACUUUUACUCCACUAUAUAUCAUUUUAAUUUACUUUAUGCUUUUUGUCAUCAUUAUUAUUAUUAUUACAACUAUUACGAGUGAGGUUAACAUUUACUUUAAAGGACAAGUGCCUGUAAUUAUUCCACGUGCGUUACGUAUGUUUUACAGCAAGUACUUCAGUAUUUUUUGACAUUUUUCAAUUUUACCCCACAUGUCACGUGUCAGUAAUAUAUUGUAUGUUUAUUUCACAGUUUUUAUUUACAAGUUCCUUAACUUACCAUCAACACUUCUGUAUUUUUGGAUUGUAUUUGAGUAUUUUUAUCGUUACUCUAGUGAAAUAUCUGUGUGUGUCUGCACCUCAUUAAAGGUCGACGUCAGAGAAAACCUGAGUGAAUUACAGCUUAAUGUCGACGAUGAACGAGUGUUUUCAUCAGCUCGCUCGAUGUCUGACGUUAAUAAAAGGUCACGCUGCUGUUUCCUGUUUCUCUGCUCCUUCAAACUAAACUUCCCUCAGCAAACAGCAGCUCUUCAAUGACCCGGUUGCACGUACGCAUCGUAAAUCCGACCCGGCAGAACUGGAGUGCAUCUUGUUUUCAGGUUCCUGCGUUUGAUGUAUUUGCUCUCUGAGUGCCUCUCACUUCUGAAGGCCGUGCUGGCUGAAUCUGGGGCCUCUCCUUGAAACAAACGGCGAUAGGGAAUCUCUUUGUCGGGGCCGUGCCUAAGCCUAAUCUAAUGAUUCAGAUGACUGGGGGCCGUACUUAGUCGGAUAGCCACUGGCUCGCUUCAAACAAGCCGCUACGGGUGGAAGUUUCCCAAGGAUUAACACUUAAAGAAGCAGCGGAGGAAAAAAAAAAAGAAGAAGAAAAAAGAGAGCCGGUGCCUUCCAGGGAAUCCCCAUUAAGUCGAGUCUUGGAGUGCCAGAGAGGAAUGUGGUUCUGCUGAGCUGUGAUCCAGGUCAGUUUCAGCACUAAUGGAAAGAAAAAAAAAAAAAAAAACCCUCCUCGGACCAAACGACACAAACAUGCAGAUGAGAUUCAGUUCUCUCUGCGGAGUCACGACGCAGGAAACAAAACAGCUGAAAGCUGCUGAUGGAAGUCGACGGUUCAGCAGGUGUCAAAACAAAGACGUUUGGUUUAACGUCAAAGUUAGAAUUUACAGAUUUAUUACAGAUUCAUUUACAGCAUGUAAGCGUUCAGUUAACAGCCGCUCGGGGUGACGUCGACUCAGUUUAGAAAACCUGAGAAAUAAAGACGCAGAGUCACGAUUCUUCAAGUAUGUAAGAAAGUCUGAGGCAGCAGAACGCGUCUGUACUUCUGAGUCUUAAUGUAGGAUCAGAGAACCUCUCACACCACCGUAUACAUGGUGAAAUACACAAGUUUACAGUAAAUAUUGAUUGUCCAGUGUUGUAACAGUCAUACUUGAGUAAAAGCAAAGAUAUCGAAUUAGAAUAUUACUUUGUUAAACGUGAGUCACCUGUAAAAAUAGAAGCAUAAAGCAGCAGGAAGAGGAAAUACUGAAGAAGUACAAGCACCUAAAACUUGUUCAGUAGCUGAGUAAAUGUACUUAGUUAUAUUCUGUUACUGCUACUUUCUGUGUUGAGUACAGUUUUGAUGUCCACUAUGUUAAUGUACAUAAUAUAUUGUGAUGUUUUGCUUGUUUUGAGUUAUUUCACAGAUUAUAUUUACGAGUUCAUUAACUGAACAUCGAAGAGUUUCUGGAAAUCUGGUCAGCGAUGAUUCCCAACAUCUCCACCGGCUGAAUAAAUGCUGCUGUAUUUGACGUGCUGUCAGAUCCAAUCAGACGAUCCAUCCUCUCGUCCAAAUAUGGUCACUUCUGGAUCUAAAAUAAAAAACAAGAAGCCGUCAGCUGUGAUGCUAAACUCGACUCUAUUUGAAGGUUCGGUAUCAUCGAGGCGACGAGCGGGUCGGGAGGCUUCGACUGGACCUUCAGGCGGCUCGGAGAGGAGAGAGGUCGAAGUGUUGAUCCCCUGAUGGAAACUCCUGUUGAUGGUAUAAUAUCUGUGUCCAUGACGACCGGUCUCUCCAGGUGACGCGAUGACUCGCUGCUCUACAGGAGGCAGGUUUACAGCUGGGGAUGACAUCAUCACUUGACCGCCGUUAGUGAACGACAGUCUGACGCUGUUUUGUAGGGAUGUUUGCUGAAGACUCUGUGACUUUUCCUUAAGUUUAUUUAUUUUAUUUUGUAUCUAAAUUCCCAGAGACACUGACGACAACGACACCAGCGCAGCGAGUUAAAGAAAUCGCGUCACGUAAUCGCCUCGCUCUUUCUGCCGGACGCCAGACAGACAUGACUGCGACUUCUCAAACGUAUGAAUCUAGUAACGUUACUGUUGUCUGGUCUUGUCGGGCGUCUCUGUGGGACGACGAUCUGUUUAGUUGUCGGACUGAACGCCAUCACGCAGUUACGACCUUCACACAGACGGCGAAGAGCAAGAGUCCCAACUUGAGAAGGUCGCGCUCCGGUUCUAUACAGGGAAGUAUCAUAACGAGGAGGAGGAGGAUGAAGGCCGCGGCGCUGUGACCCGGACCGACGCAGCGUUCUGAUCCGAGGUGACAGACUGCAAAUUCCUCACAUUGCUGUGUUGAUCCGAGCAGUGGAAGCAGCUCUCCGGCCUUCAGACGGAGGACGACUCGGCGCUUUCUUUCCUCCGUCUUCACUGUCAGCCAUUAAUCGGCGUGCAGACAGCCGGUUCUGGCCCGGCACCAGCACUUUAGGGCGUUUUCUAUCAGCGCCAUUCCAGGCAGAUGGUGGAGUAAGUGUGAUUGGCAGGAGAAGUGGAAGAAGCGGCGGCGGAGCGGAUACUGUUGCCAGGGAGCGUUGGGAGUGGGGGGGGGGGGAUAAGAGGGUACGGUGAACGAGGGGGGGUUGUGGGGCGUGACCGGUCUUAAUUAUCCCAAAGGGUUGCCAAGUGUUGGCGCUCUGACAAGGUUUCAGAGCCGAGCGACGCUGUUCGAACUCCACUGAGGAGCCCAGAGUCGUGAUUUGUUCGGGGGGAAGGUUUCUGGUUCCAACGUGUAAGUGACGAAUGUGUUUCUGUUUGUGGACAUCAGCAGUUCUGUUGAAACGCACAACAGCAGAGGGAAGUAUCCAGCGGUCGCUAUCAGGAGAGCAUCUGAGUUUUAAUCCGGGUGGAGAUGAGUUUCCCCGAUCCGCCCUGCAAAUCCCCGCUGGAAUGUGGCCGCGUGCACGUCGCCUCCACUGAGAUACGGAUCGACUGACGAGGCCUGCGGGACGACUCUCGCCGAGCAGAUGAACAAAACCAACCGCCCUCCGGGUGGAGAUACCGCAGGUGCGGCGUAAAACUGCCCGGAGAGGCACCAAAAUGGCGGAUGGGUGUUGGGUUCAUAGGGGCGAAGAGGAAGACAGCGGCGGCUCGGAGACGCCAGGCCGCCGCGGUCCCUCCCCUGCCUCUCACGCGAGGAGGAGGAGAUAACCAGCCAUCACAGGUGAGAUCACCAACACCGGGUUCACGCUGAGGUCAGGAGAAGCUCCCACAAUGCCCCUUGUUUCCAGAGAACACACCGGCAUUGACCAUGGCGGCAAGAAAAACCGUCGCUCCGAUUGCAAUCGCGCUUCCUCUCCGCUGUCUGUGUUGUUGUUGUGGCGCUUGCACAGUAUUCAUAAUCCCCACAUCGUCGGUCCGCCAGCCAUAACAAACAAGCGAGGAGCUGCGGCGCCGACGCCAGCCGGCCCCGAAAUGGUCACAGUCGGUUCUGACGACCGAACGGACGCGUUUGUCCUCAUAAGUUCAGCGGAGGGGCGAUGAAAGCUGCAGCUCAACGCUCAGAAAACCACAUUCCCCACAUUCCUCCUGAGUCCUGACAGCCGGAGCUGCUGACAGACGGCGUCACUGAGGCUCUAAUUACUGCUGAUGCAAAUAUCAGCAUCAACACGCUGCUUUUGUCUGUCUGGUGUGUUUAUGAUGCAUCUGAACGACGUGUCGACAGGGUGAGAACCUUACUGAGGUGAAACUGACAGAUUUCACAACAGAGAGCAAAAAAACCCUGAAAACAUUUGAUCAAUUAUCUUUUGAUGUGAACACAAACUUCUUCUCUGAAGUUGGAUCAAUUUACAGAGAUUUCUGUAUUUUUAGUGCGAAAAGUUACUGAAUUUCAUGAUUUGGCUGGAACUUCUUAUAACUGAUUUUAAAGGGAAUCUUCUGCAGUUUAUUUUCUGUAAAAGUCACCAAAUAAUCAUGAACUGUCUGAAUUAAAGUGUG